GCACACCCGUUCCCAUACCGAACACGGUAGUUAAGCUCCUAGAUGCAGAAGAUAGUCAGAUGGCAACGUCUUGCAAAAAUAUGUAUUCGCCGGUU
rnacentral:rRNA from 1 species